UUAAUUGAAGAGUUUGAUCAUGGCUCAGAUUGAACGCUGGCGGCAGGCCUAACACAUGCAAGUCGAGCGGUAGCACAAGAGAGCUUGCUCUCUGGGUGACGAGCGGCGGACGGGUGAGUAAUGUCUGGGAAACUGCCUGAUGGAGGGGGAUAACUACUGGAAACGGUAGCUAAUACCGCAUGACGUCUUCGGACCAAAGUGGGGGACCUUCGGGCCUCACGCCAUCAGAUGUGCCCAGAUGGGAUUAGCUAGUAGGUGGGGUAAUGGCUCACCUAGGCGACGAUCUCUAGCUGGUCUGAGAGGAUGACCAGCCACACUGGAACUGAGACACGGUCCAGACUCCUACGGGAGGCAGCAGUGGGGAAUAUUGCACAAUGGGCGCAAGCCUGAUGCAGCCAUGCCGCGUGUAUGAAGAAGGCCUUCGGGUUGUAAAGUACUUUCAGCGAGGAGGAAGGCAUUAAGGUUAAUAACCUUAGUGAUUGACGUUACUCGCAGAAGAAGCACCGGCUAACUCCGUGCCAGCAGCCGCGGUAAUACGGAGGGUGCAAGCGUAAUCGGAAUUACUGGGCGUAAAGCGCACGCAGGCGGUUUGUUAAGUCAGAUGUGAAAUCCCCGAGCUUAACUUGGGAACUGCAUUUGAAACUGGCAAGCUAGAGUCUUGUAGAGGGGGGUAGAAUUCCAGGUGUAGCGGUGAAAUGCGUAGAGAUCUGGAGGAUACCGGUGGCGAAGGCGGCCCCCUGGACAAAGACUGACGCUCAGGUGCGAAAGCGUGGGAGCAAACAGGAUUAGAUACCCUGGUAGUCCACGCUGUAAACGAUGUCGACUUGGAGGUUGUGCCCUUGAGGCGUGGCUUCCGGAGCUAACGCGUUAAGUCGACCGCCUGGGGAGUACGGCCGCAAGGUUAAAACUCAAAUGAAUUGACGGGGGCCCGCACAAGCGGUGGAGCAUGUGGUUUAAUUCGAUGCAACGCGAAGAACCUUACCUACUCUUGACAUCCAGAGAAUUUGCUAGAGAUAGCUUAGUGCCUUCGGGAACUCUGAGACAGGUGCUGCAUGGCUGUCGUCAGCUCGUGUUGUGAAAUGUUGGUUUAAGUCCCGCAACGAGCGCAACCCUUAUCCUUUGUUGCCAGCGAGUAAUGUCGGGAACUCAAAGGAGACUGCCGGUGAUAAACCGGAGGAAGGUGGGGAUGACGUCAAGUCAUCAUGGCCCUUACGAGUAGGGCUACACACGUGCUACAAUGGCAUAUACAAAGAGAAGCGAACUCGCGAGAGCAAGCGGACCUCAUAAAGUAUGUCGUAGUCCGGAUUGGAGUCUGCAACUCGACUCCAUGAAGUCGGAAUCGCUAGUAAUCGUAGAUCAGAAUGCUACGGUGAAUACGUUCCCGGGCCUUGUACACACCGCCCGUCCACACCAUGGGAGUGGGUUGCAAAAGAAGUAGGUAGCUUAACCUUCGGGAGGGCGCUUACCACUUUGUGAUUCAUGACUGGGGUGAAGUCGUAACAAGGUAACCGUAGGGGAACCUGCGGUUGGAUCACCUCCUUACCUAAAGA
rnacentral:rRNA from 1 species